rnacentral:pre_miRNA from 1 species
AAGGUACUCCCUUCGUCCCAAAAUUUUUGUCUUAAAUUUGUCUAGAUACGGAUGUAUCUAAUACUAAAACGUGACUUGAUACAUCCGUAUUUAGACAAAUCUAAGACAAGAAUUUUGGGACGGAGGGAGUAUGUU